rnacentral:tRNA from 1 species
CAAGCGGUUAAGACACCGCCCUUUCACGGCGGUAACACGGGUUCGAAUCCCGUACGGGUCA